rnacentral:lncRNA from 1 species
UAAACUACUCUAAAGUUACAAAGUAAAAACCAACACUUUGCUUUACAGGCAAGGAAACUUAACAGAGAAACUAAGAAAACUGUGUGAUCCCAGAGCAAGCGCUACCAUUGUUAUGAAGUAAAUACUAAUUAUUAUAAAGAUAAAAAUAAUCAAGUUAAAACCAGGAAAAAAGUAUCAGAAUGCUUUCUACAUGAACAGGAAGACUAACCAACGUUGAAUGGCAGCCAGUCUUAUCUCCGUCCUUAUCACCACCUUACCAUGUCAUCCUGGCGAAGAUGCCAUCACAGGAGUCAGGGUUGAAGUCCAGGUUUAAGGUGCAUCUAGAUGGGUUCCCAGGACGCCUGAAGUAGCCUCAAGAGGCCCAAAAGAAAAAGCUCCUCUGGCACAGUCUCCUAAUGGUGACAAAGGAGUCCCUCUCAUCUGCUUGGCAGCCUUACAAUCAGAGCGUUCUUACAUCUAACCUAAUUAUUUCCCACUGAAAUUCAAACCUAAUUCAUUUAUUUUUUAUUCUCUAUAAAAAUGAAAAACAUCACUGUGGCAAGUAACUUGCUCAAUUUCUCACAGAAAAUAAAGAAAAGGUAGCUGGA